rnacentral:misc_RNA from 1 species
CUUUGCAGGUUCACUGGCUGUCUUUCGAAGCCGUUCUGAUAGGCGAAUAUAACCAAAAGACCAAAAAACAGAUACAAAUGCAGCUGCAAUACCAGCAGCAGUGGAAUAAAAUGUAGCCGGUGAUGAAAUCCUCCCGGUAAUAACUGCAGAGAAUGAUAAUAUUACCGCAGAUACAACAGUGCACACCAGCUGUCCCCAAAAUCCCAAACUACCCAACCGCUUGAAGUAUCUAGAGGUCUUCUCUAACCUCUUUGAAACCUGUUCCAGCUUUGCCCGUUCGGAUUCUUCACUGUAGGGAGGGACGGGCGUGGCGUAUGGUGAGGCCGAGGCAUGAAGAUCACGGCCGGCGAUUCUGAUCUUGUGGCCCAGGAGUCUGUGAGCGGAGGGGGUGAAGGAGGGGAGGGGAAUCGAGAGACGUGAGGGUGAGGGGCGAGAGAUCGGCGGCAAACUGCGGCGGAGUACAGCCGGCGGUGGCGGCGGCAGCAGCAGCGCCAUCAUCGUCUUGUGGCGG